CCCAAAUCGGGUGGUGAAUUCCGUCCAAGGCUAAAUACGGGCGACAGACCGAUAGCGAACAAGUACCGUGAGAGAAAGAUAAAAAGAACUUUGAAAAGAGAGUUAAAGAGUACUUGAAAUUAUCAGGAAGAAAGCAGUUGGGGGCUAGUGAUGCACCCCAGUCGGAUAUGGAAUGGCGACGAGCUGGUCUACCGAUCGACUCAGGUCGUGGACCAGCGUGGAUUAGGGGGGCGGUCGAACCCCGAGCUCUCAAUACGCUCGUGGAAUGUUGUCUCCUCAAUUGUGGAAGGCAGCGCGUGCCUCUGGCGUGCUUUGGCAUCAGCGCGCUAUGAACACUGGCCUGUGGGCUCCCCAUUUGACUCGUCUUGAAAAACGGACCAAGGAGUCUAACAUGUGUGCGAGUCAACGAGCGAGUAAACUCGUAAGGCAUAAGAAAGUUGAUUGGUGGUAUCCCCCCGAGGGGUGCACAGCCAACCGACCUUUAUAUUUUGAGAAGAGUUCGAGUGUGAGCAUACCUGUCAGGACCCGAAAGAUGGUGAACUAUGCCUGAGCGGUGAGAAGCGAGAGGAAACUCUGGUGGAGGCCCGUAGCGAUACUAACUUAGAAAUCAUUCAUCUGACUUGGGUGUAGGGCUCGUGGCUGCUUUGUCAAGCCAUGCCACGGAAUCAAGAGCUCUAAGUGGGCCAUUUUUUAUAAGCAGAACUGGCGAUGAGGGAUGAAUCGAAAGCCGGGUUACGGUGCCAAACUGUGCGCUAACCUAGAUCCUAUAAAGAGUGUUGGUUGAUUAAGACAGAAGGACGGUGGUCAUAGAAGUCAAAAUCCGCUAAGGAGUGUGUAACAACUCACCUGCCAAGUAAACUAGCCCCGAAAAUAGAUGGCUCUUAAGCGCGCAACUUACACCCGGCCAUCAGGGAAAGUUCCAGGCCGAUGAGUUGGAGGGUGCGACGGUCGCUGCAAAGCGCGAGCCCAGGCAGAGCGGCCGUCGGUGCAGAUAUUGGUGGUAGUAGCAAAUAUUUAAAUAAGAACUUUGAAGGCCGAAGAGGGGAAAGGUUACAUGUGAACGGCACUUGCACAUGGAUUAGUCGAUCCUAAAGGUCGGGGGAACCCCGAUAGAUAGCGCGUUUCACGCAUACUUAGAAAGGGAAUCAAGUUAAAAAUUCCUAAACUGGGAUGUGGCGGUCGACAAAAAUGUUAGGAAGUUUGGAGACUUCGGCGGGAGCCUUGGGAAGAGUUAUCUUUUAUGUUUAAAAGCCUGUAUACCCUGGAAUUAGCUCAACCCGAGGUAGGGUCCAGCGGCUAGAAGAGCACCGCACGUCGCGUGGUGUCUGGUGCACUACCAGUGACCCUUGGAAAUCCAGAGGACCGAAUUCCCUCCACACUCGGUCGUACACAUAACCACAUCAAGUCUUCAAGGGGAACAACCUCUGGCCAAUGGAACAAUAUAGGCAAGAAAAGUCGGCAAAAUGAACCCGUAACUUCAAGAAAAGGAUUGGCACUGAGGGGUGGGCACGGGGAUCCCAGUCCCGAACCCGUCGAUUAUCGGUGGACUACAAGAGCUGCUUCCAUAGAGAGAGCGGGUCGCCGUGUUCCGGUCGGGGGACGGACUGGGAACGGUUCCUUUGGGGGCCUUCCCGAUGCGUCGAACAGCCUACUCAAAACUGGUAUGGACAAGGGGAAUCUGACUAUUUAAUUAAAACAAAGCAUUGCGAUGGUCCCAACGGAUGUUCACGCAUUAUGAUUUCUGCCCAGUGCUCUGAAUGUCAAAGUGAAGAAAUUCAACCAAGCGCGGGUAAACGGCAGGAGUAACUAUGACUCUCUUAAGGUACCCAAAUGCCUCAUCAUCUAAUUAGUGACGCACAUGAACAGAUUAACCAGAUUCCCACUAACCACAGCCAAAGGUAUGGGCUUGGCAGAAUCAGUGGGGAAAGAAGACCCUCUUGAGCUUGACUCUACUCCGACUUUGUGAAAUGACUUGAGAGGUGUAGUAUAAGUGGGAGCCAAAAGGCGAAAGUAAAAUAACACUACUUUUAACGUUAUUUUACUUAUUCCGUGAAUCGGAAGCGGGGCACUGCCCCUCUUUUUGGACCCAAGGCUCGCUCUGCAGGCCGAUCCGGGCAGAAGACAUUGUUAGGUAGGGAGUUUGGAUAGGGCGGCACAUCUAUUAAAAGAGAACGCAGGUGUACUAAGAUGAGCUCAACGAGAACAAAAAUAUCGUAUAGAACAGAAGAUUAAAAGCUCAUUUAAUUCUGAAUUUUAGUAUGAAUACGAACCAUGAAAACAUGGCCUAACGAUCCGUUAGACCUUCAAAAUUCAAAGCUAGAGGUGUCAAAAAAGUGUUACCACAGGGAUAACUGGCCUGUUGCAGCCAAGCGUUCAUAGCGACGUUGCUGUUUCAUCCUUCGACAUCGGCUCUUCCUAUCAUUAUGAAGCAGAAUUCACAAAGCGUUGGACUGUUCACCCACCAAUAGGAAACGUGAGCUGGGUUUAGACCGUCAUGAGACUAUUUAUAACAGUGUCGCAGUAGUAAUUCAACCUAGUACGAGAGGAAACAUUAAUUCACACAAUUUGUUAUCGCGCUUGGUUAAAAAGCCAGUAACGCAAAGCUACCGUGUGCUGGAUUAUGACUGAACGCCUCUAAGUCAGAAUUCGGGCUAAAAGUGAUGCAUGCACCUACUGUCCACUUGCCGACUCAUAGUAGGGUCCUCGGACCCUAAGGGCACGUAUCGUUUGCUAAGCCACCGCAGCAGAAGAGUCGGCGGUGGCCGCCUUAAAGAAUAAUUUCCAUCGAGCGGUGGGUAGAGUCCUUUGCAGACGACUUAAAUAUGGGAC
rnacentral:rRNA from 1 species